GUCUCUUGGACCAUGAAGUAAAAAUAUUAUCUAAGUUAUAGCUGUUCUUAUCAGUUUAAUAUCUGAUAUGUCCUUUAUUCGAGGACUGUAUAUUACAUUGAUUUUUGGAACGUGGGGAUGGAAUAGAUGCAGGCAAAACAUUGCAAUGCACACAUGCCAUUGCACUCUGCUGGAUGGACCCAGA
rnacentral:snRNA from 1 species